GCCGGUGAUGCAGCAGCGAGCUGUAGCGAGCAGAACAGAUUCGAGAUAAACCAUAAAUCGUCCCUGGCUUCUCAGCUGGCAGUCGUUCCUCGUUCCUCCUCACCUGAAGUUACCUGUCCACCCUCCACUGCAGUCUCCACCAUCUUCCAAAGAACUCACCCCGUCAACACUCCACUCUGGAACCCGGACCACUUCAAGGACCUCCACAAGGAGACCAAACUCCAGAAACUACUGUAUUACAUCACUGGUGGAAGAUAAUCUUAAUUUCACGUAAGAUCAAUCUAAUUCUUCCUGAAGCUCCACUUUCCGACUACCUCAAGCUCACCAUCUCUAUCUCAUUGCUCUUCAGAGUACAGACGACCCUGGUUGCUGUCCUCAAGAACAAGAACCAUGCAUUCUCAUUUUUCAUCAUUGUUCAAGUAAACUUUAUUUACCUGA